UACAGAGGGGGCAAGCGUUGUUCGGAAUUACUGGGCGUAAAGGGCGCGUAGGCGGCCUGCUAAGUCGAACGUGAAAUCCCUGGGCUCAACCCAGGACUGCGUCCGAUACUGGUUGGCUUGAAUCCGGGAGAGGGAUGUGGAAUUCCAGGUGUAGCGGUGAAUGCGUAGAUAUCUGGAGGAACACCGGUGGCGAAGGCGACAUCCUGGACCGGUAUGACGCGUGAG
rnacentral:rRNA from 1 species